UGGGAGAUUGAUACACAAGCCAGACUGAAACUUGCUUGGUUUGUCACAAAAUCUCCCUAAAGUAAAAUAGCUUUUUGAUGACCGGGACGAAAUGAGAGAAAUCGUAACGGACAGAUACGGAGCAGACACGC